rfam:Geoalkalibacter subterraneus strain Red1 plasmid pGSTB1, complete sequence.
CCAGGAAUGUCACUUCCUGAGCCUACCAGGGCAUGCAGGAUCAGUAAUGAACCUGUGUGAAGCCCCUGGGACAAGUGUACCCGGAUGGAAACAUGGACCAAACGCCGUGAGGCUAUUAGGGACUACUGCUAGCAGUAGAGCGGUUACGGGG